rnacentral:rRNA from 1 species
CCUACGGGAGGCUGCAGUGGGGAAUAUUGCACAAUGGGCGCAAGCCUGAUGCAGCCAUGCCGCGUGUGUGAAGAAGGCCUUCGGGUUGUAAAGCACUUUCAGCGGGGAGGAAGGCGGUGAGGUUAAUAACCUCAUCGAUUGACGUUACCCGCAGAAGAAGCACCGGCUAACUCCGUGCCAGCAGCCGCGGUAAUACGGAGGGUGCAAGCGUUAAUCGGAAUUACUGGGCGUAAAGCGCACGCAGGCGGUCUGUCAAGCCGGAUGUGAAAUCCCCGGGCUCAACCUGGGAACUGCAUUCGAAACUGGCAGGCUAGAGUCUUGUAGAGGGGGGUAGAAUUCCAGGUGUAGCGGUGAAAUGCGUAGAGAUCUGGAGGAAUACCGGUGGCGAAGGCGGCCCCCUGGACAAAGACUGACGCUCAGGUGCGAAAGCGUGGGGAGCAAACAGGAUUAGAUACCCGGGUAGUC